rnacentral:rRNA from 1 species
UACAGAGGGGGCAAGCGUUGUUCGGAAUUACUGGGCGUAAAGGGCGCGUAGGUGGCCUUCUAAGUUGAACGUGAAAUCCCUGGGCUCAACCCAGGAACUGCGUCCAAGACUGGGAGGCUUGAAUCCGGGAGAGGGAUGCGGAAUUCCAGGUGUAGCGGUGAAAUGCGUAGAUAUCUGGAGGAACACCGGUGGCGAAGGCGGCAUCCUGGACCGAGAUUGACGCUGAGGCGCGAAAGCCAGGGGAGCAAACGGG